AUGAACGCUGGCGGCGUGCCUCAUACAUGCAAGUCGAGCGCACGGACGAGAAGCUUGCUUCUCUGAUGUUAGCGGCGGACGGGUGAGUAACACGUGGAUAACCUACCUAUAAGACUGGGAUAACUUCGGGAAACCGGAGCUAAUACCGGAUAAUAUUUUGAACCGCAUGGUUCAAAAGUGAAGGACGGUCUUGCUGUCACUUAUAGAUGGAUCCGCGCUGCAUUAGCUAGUUGGUAAGGUAACGGCUUACCAAGGCAACGAUGCAUAGCCGACCUGAGAGGGUGAUCGGCCACACUGGAACUGAGACACGGUCCAGACUCCUACGGGAGGCAGCAGUAGGGAAUCUUCCGCAAUGGGCGAAAGCCUGACGGAGCAACGCCGCGUGAGUGAUGAAGGUCUUCGGAUCGUAAAACUCUGUUAUUAGGGAAGAACAUAUGUGUAAGUAACUGUGCACAUCUUGACGGUACCUAAUCAGAAAGCCACGGCUAACUACGUG
rnacentral:rRNA from 1 species